AGCUAUGAGGCAGGGGGAGGUGAGUGACAGAAACAGAGUUUGCUAUUCAGCCGGUGGCAGCAAACUGCAUUAGACUCCUCUGCCAAGGAUAGGAGCCUAACAGCAGCUACCUCCCCGCCCUCCCUAGCCUCUCUUUCCCUCAAGUGUCUGUCCAAAAACCCUUGUCUCGAGUCACUCUCUGGGCUGACUCUCAUUUUACCCGACUUGUGAAAGAGUGGUAGUAGUUGUUGUGAAGAUCAAAUGAGUUAAUGAACUUAAAUUUGUCUCAUCUCUAAAAAGGAAUGAAUAAGCUCUCUUUGACUCCUAGGAAGGCACACAGAAGAAUAAAUGACAGCCACGCCCCACCACAUCAUCAGUUUUUAGGAUAUGGAUCUCAGCACUUGGGGACGCCGCCUGCUCCUGAACUGAAGGCAACAUUUGUGAACCGGAAUCAUGGCAGAGGCUACUUUUCACCCGCCCUCACUUGGUUCUAUUUAUGAUUCCCCGGUUCCCCUCCAGCCCAAGUGAACCUCUUCUUUCGUUGUUUCCAUAUGACCUUUCUUACAACUGUA